CGGGUACUGGCCCGUGCGACAGAAGUGCGAUUCCCAGGGGCCGUAUUGGACUUCACCGGGAGCUGUCCCUGGCCUGGACCGUGGUCUCGGCCAAACGGCGCCCACCUGCACCUGCAGGCCCGCGAGGAUUCCUAUUCUUCAUCGGCGGGAUCGGUCCUGCC
rnacentral:other from 1 species